AAUGAACGCUGGCGGCGUGCCUAACACAUGCAAGUCGAACGAACAGACGAGGAGCUUGCGCUCCUGCGGUUGGCGGGGGACGGGCGAGUAACGCAUAGAUAGCCUACCACUAAGACGUGGAUAAUAACGGAAAACCGCUUCUAAUACUGGAUCAUAUAUCGAACGGGUGGGAGCAAGAGUGAAAGACGCUUUUCGUGUUAGUAAUAGCCGAAUCCGGGUCGGAUUAGCUAGUUGGUAAGGUAACGGCUAACCAAGGCGACGAAGCGUAGCCGACCUGAGAGGAUGAUCCGCCACACUGGAACUGAGACACGGUCCAGACUCCUACGGGAGGCAGCAGUAGGGAAUCUUGGGCAAUGGGCGCAAGCCUGACGGAGCAACGCCGCGUGGGUGAUGAAGGUCUUCGGGUCGUAAAGCUCUUUUAUUGGGGAAGAACAGAAGUGUAAUUAACUCUGCACGUCUUGACGGUACCUAAUCAAAAAGCCCCGGCUAACUUCGUG
rnacentral:rRNA from 1 species